rnacentral:rRNA from 1 species
UGCAAGCAUCAACACCCCCGUGAGAACGCCCCCAUACCUCCACCAGGGUGGGGAGCUGGUAUCAGGCACAGACUUUCUGGCCCACAACACCUAGCUUUGCCACACCCCCAAGGGUCAUCAGCAGUGAUUAACAUUGUCCAUGAGCGCCAGCUCGACUCAGUUAAAUAAAACAGGGCCGGCCAAUCCGGUGCCAGCCGCCGCGGCUACACCGUCGGGCUCAAGUUGACAAUUAUUCGGCGUUAAGCGUGUUUAAAGUGACAAACAGUACCUAGAAUUAAACUUAAACCAAGUUGUGACACACUUGUUUUUAAGAAGGCCAUAAACGAAAGUUAUUCUAGUCAAACCACUUGAAUCCACGACAGCUGGGGCACAAACUGGGAUUAGGUACCCCACUAUGCCUAGCCGUAAAAUAUUUACUUACACCUAACCCGCCAGGGAAUUACGAGCCCAAGCUUAAAACCCAAAGGACUUGACGGUGUCCCACCCAUCUAGAGGAGCCUGUUCUAUAAUCGAUUCCCCCCGAUUCACCCCACCACUUCUAGCCUCUCAGCCUGUAUACCUCCGUCGCAAGCUUACCAUAUGAACGAAUCUUAGUGAGCCUAAAGAUCAAUCGUAAAUACGUCAGGUCAAGGUGCAGCCCACGAUGUGGAAAGUAAUGGGCUACAAUUUCUACUAGUAGAACAAACGAAAGACUACAUGCAACUCAGUCAUGAAGGCGGAUUUAGCAGUAAAAAGAAAAUAGAGAGUUCUUUUUAAUUAGGCACUGGGACGCGUACACACCGCCCGUCACCCUCUUCAAAUGUAACAUUACCCAAGUUCUUAACAACCCAACUACCUACAGAA